rnacentral:lncRNA from 1 species
AUGGAAGGAGGAAGACAGACGAGCUCUCCCAUCAGGACAAUCAGAAUAGAUCAUUCAUCUGUCCACGCUACACUGAAGACGUUGGGGUUCCACCAGGUUCCACCAGGUUCCUCCCCUGCCUCCUGGGUUCCUGGGUUCCUCCCUGGGUUCCUCCCUGGGUUCCUCCCUGGGUUUCUCCCCUGCCUCCCUGGGUUCCUCCCUGGGUUCCUCCCUGGGUUCCUCCCUGGGUUUCUCCCUGGGUUUCUCCCCUGCCUCCCUGGGUUCCUCCCUGGGUUCCUGGGUUCCUCCCUGGGUUCCUCCCUGGGUUCCUCCCCUGCCUCCCUGGGUUCCUCUCUGGGUUCCUGGGUUCCUCCCUGGGUUCCUCCCUGGGUUUCUUACCUGCCUCCCUGGGUUCCUGGGUUCCUCCCCUGCCUCCCUGGGUUCCUCUCUGGGUUCCUGGGUUCCUCCCUGGGUUCCUCCCUGGGUUCCUCCCUGGGUUCCUCCCCUGCCUCCCAUGGUUCCUCUCUGGGUUCCUGGGUUCCUCCCCUGUCUCCCUGGGUUCCUCCCUGGGUUCCUCCCCUGCCUCCUGGGUUCCUCCCUGGGUUCCUGGGUUCCUCACUGGGUUCCUGGGUUCCUCCCUUGUCUCCUGGGUUCCUCUCUGGGUUCCUGGGUUCCUCCUUGGGUUCCUGGGUUCCUCCCCUGCCUCCUGGGUUCCUCCCUGGGUUCCUGGGUUCCUCCCUGGGUUCCUGGGUUCCUCCCCUGCCUCCUGGGUUCCUCCCUGGGUUCCUGGGUUCCUCCCCUGCCUCCUGGGUUCCUCCCCUGUCUCUCUGGGUUCCUCCCUGGGUUCCUCCCCUGCCUCCUGGGUUCCUCACUGGGUUCCUGGGUUCCUCCCCUGUCUCCUGGGUUCCUCCCUGGGUUCCUCCCUGGGUUCCUUCCUGGGUUCCUGGGUUCCUCCCUGGGUUCCUCCCCUGCCUCCCAUGGUUCCUCUCUGGGUUCCUGGGUUCCUCCCCUGUCUCCCUGGGUUCCUCUUUGGGUUCCUGGGUUCCUCCCUGGGUUCCUCCCUGGGUUUCUUACCUGCCUCCCUGGGUUCCUGGGUUCCUCCCCUGCCUCCCUGGGUUCCUCUCUGGGUUCCUGGGUUCCUCCCUGGGUUCCUCCCUGGGUUCCUCCCUGGGUUCCUCCCCUGCCUCCCAUGGUUCCUCUCUGGGUUCCUGGGUUCCUCCCUGGGUUCCUCCCUGGGUUCCUCCCCUGCCUCCCAUGGUUCCUCUCUGGGUUCCUGGGUUCCUCCCCUGUCUCCCUGGGUUCCUCCCUGGGUUCCUCCCCUGCCUCCUGGGUUCCUCCCUGGGUUCCUGGGUUCCUCCCUGGGUUCCUGGGUUCCUCCCCUGCCUCCUGGGUUCCUCCCUGGGUUCCUGGGUUCCUCCCCUGCCUCCUGGGUUCCUCCCCUGUCUCUCUGGGUUCCUCCCUGGGUUCCUCCCCUGCCUCCUGGGUUCCUCACUGGGUUCCUGGGUUCCUCCCUUGUCUCCUGGGUUCCUCUCUGGGUUCCUGGGUUCCUCCCUGGGUUCCUGGGUUCCUCCCCUGCCUCCUGGGUUCCUCUCUGGGUUCCUGGGUUCCUCCCCUGUCUCCUGGGUUCCUCCCUGGGUUCCUUCCUGGGUUCCUGGGUUCCUCCCUGGGUUCCUCCCUGGGUUCCUCCCCUGCCUCCCAUGGUUCCUCUCUGGGUUCCUGGGUUCCUCCCCUGUCUCCCUGGGUUCCUCCCUGGGUUCCUCCCCUGCCUCCUGGGUUCCUCCCUGGGUUCCUGGGUUCCUCACUGGGUUCCUGGGUUCCUCCCUUGUCUCCUGGGUUCCUCUCUGGGUUCCUGGGUUCCUCCUUGGGUUCCUGGGUUCCUCCCCUGCCUCCUGGGUUCCUUCCUGGGUUCCUCCCUGGGUUCCUGGGUUCCUCCCCUGCCUCCUGGGUUCCUCCCUGGGUUCCUGGGUUCCUCCCCUGCCUCCUGGGUUCCUCCCCUGUCUCUCUGGGUUCCUCCCUGGGUUCCUCCCCUGCCUCCUGGGUUCCUCCCUGGGUUCCUCCCUGGGUUCCUCCCCUGCCUCCCAUGGUUCCUCUCUGGGUUCCUGGGUUCCUCCCCUGUCUCCCUGGGUUCCUCUCUGGGUUCCUGGGUUCCUCCCCUGCCUCCUGGGUUCCUCCCUGGGUUCCUCCCUGGGUUCCUCCCCUGCCUCCCAUGGUUCCUCUCUGGGUUCCUGGGUUCCUCCCCUGUCUCCCUGGGUUCCUCCCUGGGUUCCUCCCCUGCCUCCUGGGUUCCUCCCUGGGUUCCUGGGUUCCUCACUGGGUUCCUGGGUUCCUCCCUUGUCUCCUGGGUUCCUCUCUGGGUUCCUGGGUUCCUUCCCUGCCUCCUGGGUUCCUCCCUGGGUUCCUGGGUUCCUCCCUUAG